rnacentral:tRNA from 2 species
GGUCCUGUGGUGAAAUUCAUGUUGAGUUGCAAGCUCAUCGAUGUGCAUUAAAAGUGUACCAGGGCCU